rnacentral:rRNA from 1 species
GGGCGCAAGCCUGAUGCAGCCAUGCCGCGUGUAUGAAGAAGGCCUUCGGGUUGUAAAGUACUUUCAGCAGUGAGGAAGGUGGAUAUGUUAAUAGCAUAUUCAUUUGACGUUAGCUGCAGAAGAAGCACCGGCUAACUCCGUGCCAGCAGCCGCGGUAAUACGGAGGGUGCGAGCGUUAAUCGGAAUUACUGGGCGUAAAGCGCAUGCAGGUGGUUUGUUAAGUCAGAUGUGUAAAGCCCGGGGCUCAACCUCGGAAUUGCAUUUGAAACUGGCAAACUAGAGUACUGUAGAGGGGGUAGAAUUUCAGGUGUAGCGGUGAAAUGCGUAGAGAUCUGAAGGAAUACCGGUGGCGAAGGCGGCCCCCUGGACAGAUACUGACACUCAGACUGCGAAAGCGUGGGGAGCAAACAGGAUUAGAUACCCUGGUAG